UACGGAGGGUGCGAGCGUUGUCCGGAAUCACUGGGCGUAAAGGGCGCGUAGGUGGCGCGGGCAGUCAACGGUGAAAGUUCGGGGCUCAACCCUGAAUCGGCCGUCGAUACUCCCGGGCUUGAGCACUGUAGAGGCAGAUGGAAUUCCGGGUGUAGCGGUGGAAUGCGUAGAGAUCCGGAAGAACACCGGUGGCGAAGGCGGUCUGCUGGGCAGUAGCUGACACUGAGGCGCGACAGCGUGGGGAUCAAACAGG
rnacentral:rRNA from 1 species